GGUUGUUUGCUGUGGACAAGUAUUUCCAAUAUUUUCAAGCAUCUUGGCGUGUUACGUGGCGACUACAGCGCCACUCAACGCAUAUGUGACACGUGUCACAACCGGAACAAAAUCACUGGGCUGUUCAACAUUUUUACUGGAGAAACACUUUUUCACAUAUAUGUGGAAUGGCUAGUGCGAUUGGCGACUCAAUAUUAGACACACCGCCACAUAUGACCCGUUGAACAUACCUGAGGACAUCGAGCCGUACUUGAGGCAGAUUGACUAUGCCCUUAUUUCUGCACUUGUCGAGCAUUGGCGGCCUAAGAUGCAGACAUUUCAUAUGGCGCAUGGUGAGAUGAUGAUCACCCUAGAGGAUGUACACCAUAUGUUGGGUUUGCCCAUGAAUGGUGACAUUAUCUCCAGUUGUGUUGGACAAUAUGAUUGGCGACAUGUAAUAUUUGAAAACCUUCGAAUUCAGCUAGAAACAAAUCGUGACAUGACGGGUAGUUAGUGAGCCUUCAGUGGUUGCGUCAGUGCUUUGGUCAUAAUGGUCCAAAUGUUGGGGUGGAGGCACAACACAUUAGGUACACGCGCGCGUUGAUCUUGCACAUCUUAGGAGGAUGGUCGUAUUAGGAGGAACCCGACUGGGGGUUAGAUUUCGAUGUAAUUUCUAGCCAUUUUUGCAUGAUACGAGAUUGUGCGGGGGUGAUCAUUGACCGAGCUAGACAACCUUUGUUAUGUAGAUUUAUUUUUUUAGAUGCUUCAUGGACAUUUUAGACAUAUUAUUUUUUUAGUUAUCGUGGUUAUGUAUGAUGAUGAACUAUGGACAUUUUGAUAUAAU